CUUUCAGUGCUGAAUUAUGUAAAAGUUCUAUUACAUACUUUGCAAAUAAUUUACAAUUCUUUACUGGAGAGAAAUUGUUUCUAACUAAAUAAUAUAAGCUACCAUAAUGACGAAAGGCAAAAAUGAUGUCGAAGACGAUUACUCAGCGAAGUUAGACAUGUGUCUAACUGAUGGAAUCAUUAAAACUGGAAGUGGUGUUUUGUUGGGAGCUCUAUCUUCAGUUUUAUUCUUGGGUCGGCGGAGAUGGCCAGUUAUAGCUGGGAUGGGUAUGGGAAUAGGUCUAGCAUAUGCUAACUGUGAAUAUGAGUUAAACCCAAAAAAGAAAAAUACUGCAUAAUGACUAAAACGUAAUAUCAGAUAAGAGUUUAGUUGAGAAGACUUGAGUGAUGCAAAUCAUGUCCAGUAAGCAAUUUCAACUUCGGUAGAUAAUUUAUUUUAAAAGCAUUCAAUUUUGUUUUAAUGUACAAAUAAUUAUUAAUUAUUAUAA